rnacentral:rRNA from 1 species
CAGUCGCCACGGGAAUACGGAGGAUCCAAGCGUUAUCCGGAAUCAUUGGGUUUAAAGGGUCCGUAGGCGGAUCUGUAAGUCAGUGGUGAAAUCUCACAGCUUAACUGUGAAACUGCCAUUGAUACUGCAGGUCUUGAGUAAAUUUGAAGUGGCUGGAAUAAGUAGUGUAGCGGUGAAAUGCAUAGAUAUUACUUAGAACACCAAUUGCGAAGGCAGGUCACUAAGAUUUAACUGACGCUGAUGGACGAAAGCGUGGGGAGCGAACAGGAUUAGAUACCCCCGUAGUCCCUGUCUCUUAUAA